CUGGACUUCCCUAACUCAUGCUUUCGGGGGCCUAACGUGCCUCCAAAACGCAUGCAUGUUCGGCGGCCGAACUUGACUUUCGGCGGCCGAACCUGGGUUUUCCUCCAAUGCUAUUUUCAUGCAAAAAUUCAUUUAGUUUCAUACUUUAAAACCAUUAAAAACAUGAAAACAUUUUUAUAAAACAUGACUUUACCCUUCUAGAAGUUCCCGACAUCCGAAAUUCCACCGGACGGUAGGAAUUCCGAUACCGGAGUCUAGCCGGGU
rnacentral:lncRNA from 1 species